CAGAAUUAUUACUAAAAAAGGCCAUAGAAUCCUUUUGUAUUAAUUGUGAUUAAUAAAUAAUAUAUAUUAUUUAUAUAUGUUACACAGACAAUCUCUUCUCUGUAUCCAUGAGGAAUUCAUUUCAAGAUCCCCUGUGGAUACCAAAAUCUAUAGAUGCCAAAUCCCUUGUGCAAAUGAUAUGACAUUUUAUAUAUAUUAUGUGCAUCUUCUUGUAUACUUUAAAUCAUCUCUAGAUUACAUAUAAUAUCUAAUACCAGAUAAAUGCUAUAAAAAAAAUUAUUAUACAGGAAUACCCCGUUUAGUACGGAUUCGAUUAGUGCGGUAUUCGCAAU
rnacentral:lncRNA from 1 species